UUUUUUUUUUUUUUUUUUUUGCUUUUUAGGGCUGCACCUGUGGCAUAUGGAGGUUCCCAGGCUAGGGGUCCAAUCAGAGCUAUCGCUGCCAGCUAUGCCAGAGCCAUAGCAACGCAGGAUCCGAGCUGUGUCUGUGACCUACACCACAGCCCACGGCAAUGCCAGAUCCUUAACCCACUGAGUAAGGCCAGGGAUCAAACCCACAUGGUUCCUAGUCAGAUUCGUUUCUGUUGCACUACAACAGGAACUCCAGAAAAAUUUUGAAAAUACUGAAAAGCACAUGUGGGCACACAUACGCAAAUAAAUAGACACCAUCAUUUUCGACAUUUGUUGCACGGAGUUCCACCCUUUUUCUAAAUGCAUAACAUACAAAUAUUUUCCACAUUCUUUUAUAAACAGGGACUACUUUACAACAAGCUCUUUUCCAUUUACUGAUAUUUCAUUAUUCCAGAUUCCUCCUGGUCUGCCCCCACUGAAAUGGACUGGCCGGAGACAAAUGUUUACUGCCUCAGCCUGAUUUGAUAAGGGGCCUGCACACUAAGCAGAUUGUCUUCUUCCAGGGAAAGUUUUCUAGGCUAAUUCAGGGAUGAUGUGUAAUUGAGAUAAAUGCCGCCCCCCUCUGUGUCUUCCCACAGUGUCAUUAAACUGUCCCCAGAGGCACGCUUGUGUGCAUACGGUGGGGAGGGACGAGUCUUUUUCCCCCACACAGCCCCUGACUUAUCUAGUACCUCAGCUUUGUUUUAUGCAACAACCCAGCAGCUGUAAGGCUUAGGGCAUUUGGAAGCUACCUGAGGAAGCUCCCUUCAUUAAGUGCUCUGAGGGCUGUUCUCAGCUAGACUCAGAACUCACUUCUGGGCCUUCAGGCAAUGUGUUUGACUCAGAUGACUGUAAGCUAAAAAGAGCUAUUCAUAAAACUGCUGCCUUUUAAGGCUAACCCAGGCCAUGGGGCUCCUUGGUCCCCAGAGCUGGAGAUCAGUGACUAUGGAAACCACCCAGUAUCACACAUCUGCUGCUCAGGGUCCGUGACCUCUCCCACCUGAGACGUUUGCCCAGCACUGUGGUCCAGGAAGGUAACUGCUUGGAUAGAGGGUAACUUGAGCAGAUGUAUGAGCUGAGCUGUGCUCUAACAUAGCAGCGGUGUGCAGGACUCACUGGAACCAAGAGGGCUUUCAGGAAGGGGCCACUUGGACAGCCACAGGAAUGGUCCAGCUAUAGGUUUACCCAGGGGAGGACUGAAUGGAAAGGUAAGGGGCCUCUUCGGGAGAUUUCCUUUCCUUUAUUGUCUUUAUAUUAUUCAAUACCAUACAUGUUCAUUGAAGAAAAUCUAGAAGGUAUGUAAAAGCAAAAAUGGAAAAGAAAAAUCACAACUUCACCACUUAGACAUAAACUUGUUAAUGGCGAUGUGGGGUCUUCUGACCUCCCAGUGUGUAGGGGAAAGUGGCACAUGCUAUGCAUUAGUGAAUAUAACAUACCAGUUGUAACCUGUGUUUAUUUACUUAAUCAUAGGGAAGACAUCCUCCUCUUAAAUGUUCCAACCUGCUGAAGUCGGACAAGAUGGACAGGUGAUGCCUUCCACUCUUACAAAUCUUCCUUCUCUACCGUCUCUGGUUCCUCCUCUCCAGGGCUCCACCCUCAGGCAGCUGUCAACUCAUCUCUGCUAAAGUGCUACCCUACUUGGAGCUGUUUGUGUUUUACAAGACACUCUUACAAGCAGAAUAUGAUCUUCACAUACCCCAAGUUAGUUACUAAAGGCAGAAUAUCUGGGCAGGAAACUAUCUGGGGUUUCUCAGAACAGUCUACCAUGUCAACUCUUUGGUAGAAAAGAAAUCUGAAGAUAAUGGGAAUAUCUUGUGACUUUGGAGGGAUGGGUAUGGACAUGCCUAGGUUUCUCCUAGAGCUAACAGGAUAGUAAAAGCUAAUCCACUGAUGCAUUAAGAUCUGCUGAUAAUAGAGGAAUACUUAAGAGAAGGACCCACUCACAGCUUGAGGUACCAGUAAACACAUGGAUUUGAAGUCAUGGGAUCAUGGGUUAAAAUUCUGGCUCUGGAAAUUUCUAGCUGUGUGACCCAGCACAAGCUGUUAGCAACUGGGUGCCCAACACACCACCUGUAAAGGGAGAGAGCACACCUCCCUCAUAGAGGUGUUAUAAGAAUUAAAAUGGGGAGUUCCUGUCGUGGCUCACUGGUUAGCAAACACGACUAGCAUCCAUGAGGACACAGGUUUGAUCCCUGGCCUCACUCAGUGAGUUAAGGACCCGGCGUUGCCAUGAGCUGUGGUGUAGGUUGCAGAUGCAGCUUGGAUCUGGUGUGGCUAUGGCUGAGGCAUAGGCCAGCAGCUGCAGCUCCAAUUUGACCCCUGGCCUGGGAAUUUCCAUAUGUCUUAGGCGUGGCCCUGAAAGGACAAUAAUAAUAAUAAUAAUUUGCUUUACAAAGACUCAAUCAGUCAACAGGUAUUUAUUGGGUGUCUACUAUGUGCCAGGCACAGUACCAGGUCUUGGGUACACAGAGGUGAAUAAGUU
rnacentral:lncRNA from 1 species